AAAUUGAAGAGUUUGAUCAUGGCUCAGAUUGAACGCUGGCGGCAGGCCUAACACAUGCAAGUCGAACGGUAACAGGAAGCAGCUUGCUGAUUCGCUGACGAGUGGCGGACGGGUGAGUAAUGUCUGGGAAACUGCCUGAUGGAGGGGGAUAACUACUGGAAACGGUAGCUAAUACCGCAUAAUGUCGCAAGACCAAAGAGGGGGAC
rnacentral:rRNA from 1 species